GUGAACUACACAGGCCAUGUGGGUGCCGAGCUCAGAGCCGGAAAGCAAACAGCUGCUGUAGCCUGAUUUGAGUUAAAAUAGUGUGAGUGUUUAGUCUGGCGCACGGCUUCGGGGGAGAUUGGCAGCUGGGUCAAACAAAGUCCUUCCGUUGGCUCCCUUCCCAGGCUGCUCUGCUAGUAUUUAGUGGGUCCUAGUGCUCUGCAGGGCCCUUUUCUCAGGCAAAAUCCUAACAUCUGACCGCACCCUAUUUGCUAUUUCAAAAAAAGAAAAAGAAAAAAAAAAAAGGAGGAGAAGGGAGGGGGGGAAUAUAGCUGUUUCUGCUUCUUUCGUUCUAAGAUAAAUUCUCCUGGAGACAACCUCUCCCACUAAUUGUGUGUUAGCCAUGCAUUUUUAUCUUGAGAGCUGACGCACUGGGCUCUCAACUGAUGUGGAAAGCAGCCUGUUACAGUGCGGGAUUCAUAAAAGGGCCUCUAUGGUGUGAGAAAGAAUAUCUGUGUGCUUAGGCAGGAAACUUUUUGAUCUACAGAAAAGCCAGAAGACCUCUAGCACACCAGCAUAGGGGUGAUCCUCCCCUUGAGCAGUAUAAACUAUGAAGAGAUUCUUCAAAACCCACUGGGACAAAUAACAGAUGAAUUCAUAAACCUGUUCUUCUCUGUGAGCAGCAGCCGGUUAACAGUUACCUUUACUCGUCACUCAGAAAGCAUUUAAUGAAAUAAUGAACUAUAAAGGGGAACACUUAAAGUGGAUAUGAGAAGAGAAGAAAAUGAGCAUAGGAGGAAACCAUCUCAGGUAAAAAAAAAAAAAAGGAAACCCCAAGUGUAAAGUGUAAUUAUUCAGCAAUAUUUUAAAGAGAAAAUUAUCCUGUGCUUGGUUAUAAGAUAUUUGCCUUCCUUUUGUGGAGCUAGCUAUUGGAAUUUUUGUUGAUGGGUUUCCUUCAAGACUUUCAGCAUGGCUUGCCUUUGUAAACCUUUUUGUUUGGUUUUGUGAUCAAUGCCCAGUUGCCAUCAUUCUGAGGGCAUGUGUGUAUACUGAUUCUUAUAACACAAAUAUAAGAUGGUUAAAAAGGAAGCUAUUUAAUGAAAAGAACAAUAUGUUUCCGAUGGUUGUACCGUACAAAAGGAAGUAGAAUCUGGGAGGAAGGUAUAAACUCAUGGUGUGCAUCUUAAUCUUUUUUUCAUAUAUCUAGUAAGACAAUAAAGCCAAAGCAAAUUGUGAAGGAAUAAAAACUACAAUCAGUGAUUCCUCUCUUUUCACGUGAAAUCUUUGCUGUAUGGUGAAAUACUUUCACUAUGAUUGUAUGAUUGUUGAUUAUUUACUAUAGUUUUAAUAAGCAGGAGAAUGAUUUGAAAAUAAAUAAUGGUGAAAAUUUGUGUCGACCAAAUUAUCUGUACUAAACUCUAUAAAAUAAUUCUAUUUUUAUGUAUUUCAAACAUGCCAAAUCAUGAAGUAAUUACUAUGCAGUAUUAUUUUUCACAAUGAGGAUGUAAUUAAGAAAAGCUUAAUCAUUUUUGUAUGAGUGAAAUAAUUAAUGAUUGUACAGCUUAUAAUUUUGCUGCAGAUGAGUUUAGAAUCCUAAAAAAAAAAAAAGUACAUGUAACUGGUUAUAUAUGUGAUCACUGGCUCAUUCCCAUAUAGUCUGAUAGCUCACAAAAUUAGAGACUAAUUUAUUUCCUUUCAACCUGUUGAACACAGGAGUUUUAGGCAAGUGUAUAUUUUGUUUAUGGGACACAAUUUUGGGGGAAAUAAAUUUAAAUGCAUUUUGUUGAAAUAGACUAUAUGCUCUUUGAUGUGGUCUGAAUGAAUACAAACAGUACAGAAUAGCAAUAAUGACACACUUAUGUUGUCAUUGAUUUUAGUUUUCUGAUAGCAUUUUUUCCAUACUGUUUCAUUCCAGCUGUAGGCACAUAUCUAUAUAUUUAGGAUUUGUGAAUUUUGUGUUUUUUACCUAGUCAAUCUGAUCUCAUUUGCUUUAUGAAAGUUAUAAUGUUGCUAUACAUCCAUAAAAUCAUGACUAAGAUUUUAUGUGAGUGAAUACAGGCACUCUAAUUCAUAUAUAAAUAAUUUAUUUUUAAUUAUAGACUCAUAAUACUACAUCCAUGCCUUACAAUAGCAUAAUCCGUAUAUGCUAAUAUGGAUUCUAAAUUAGAACAGUUUAACAACAUUAAAAUAUUCACAAUUAAAACAAAAGCAAUCUGUAAAAAAAGAAGAAAAAAAAUGAACUUGCAAAACUACUUUUUAAUCCUCAUGUUUACAAACUUGUAUUUAGGUCAGCGUAUUUAUUAAGGUCUUUAACUGGGAAUAUGCAUCCUGAGAGCAUAGCCUUUAAAAUACUUACACUAAAAUACAGAUGCCAUUUCUAUCCCCUAAUUGCAUUAGAUGUGUAGGACAAAUGCUACAUUGGUAGCACCCAUGUGAGACGAUGCCCAUUGGCAUAAACCCGUAGAUCCGAUCUUGUGGUGAAGUGGACCGCACAAGCU